UACAGAGGGUGCGAGCGUUGUUCGGAAUUAUUGGGCGUAAAGGGCGCGUAGGCGGUGCGGUAAGUCACCUGUGAAAUCCCCAGGCUUAACCUGGGGCCUGCAGUCGAAACUGCCGUGCUGGAGUAUGGGAGAGGUGCGUGGAAUUCCCGGUGUAGCGGUGAAAUGCGUAGAGAUCGGGAGGAACACCUGUGGCGAAGGCGGCGCACUGGACCGUAACUGACGCUGAGGCGCGAAAGCGUGGGGAGCAAACAGG
rnacentral:rRNA from 1 species